rnacentral:lncRNA from 1 species
UUCCUCUAGCUCCCAUGUGCUUUCUUCAUACGGCAGAGAGCACCAUUUUACCAGUGGCCCCUCUCUGGAUUCUUCUCAGAAAACAGACUGAAGAGGUGUACUUGAGAAUAAGUCAUCUCACAGACAUUUCUCAAAGACUGUCCUCAAAUUCUGCUAUUCAUGACUAAAAUUAAAGGACCCAAACCAUUAUAGUCUGAACCAUGACCAAGUCAGACCUUCUGUAACAACAGGGAAAGGCCAGGCUGAGGGCUCCCUGUUUUAUUCCCUUGGUGAAUUGGAAUGACAAGUUCCUUUUCGUAACACUGAUAAAGUUCUAUUUCCUCAUU